UUCCGAUUUCGGUAAAGGCGAUUUUUUUAUGACCCGAUCGAAAAAUCAUCAAAUCUUUUUAGUAACAAAUGGAGUAUCUCAAAUGUCUGAUCGUGUAGUUGGUAAUGUCAAGUGGUUCAAUAGUGAAAAGGGCUACGGUUUUAUUUCUCAGGAAAACGGCCCGGAUGUCUUCGUCCAUCACACUGCCAUUCAGGCGGAAGGCUUCCGCACAUUGAACGAAGGGCAAAAAGUUGAAUUUUCCAUCGAAAAGGGUCCCAAAGGCUUGCAGGCUGCCCGCUUGACCAUUCUGUAAAAUUCUCAACUCAAAAGCCAAAACACCCCUGUUCCAAACAGGGGUGUUUUU
rnacentral:sRNA from 1 species